CCAGAGAACUUAGCAGAGAUGCUUUGGUGGCCUUCGGGAACUCUGAGACAGGUGCUGCAUGGCUGUCGUCAGCUCGUGUUGUGAAAUGUUGGGUUAAGUCCCGCAACGAGCGCAACCCUUAUCCUUUGUUGCCAGCGAUUCGGUCGGGAACUCAAAGGAGACUGCCGGUGAUAAACCGGAGGAAGGUGGGGAUGACGUCAAGUCAUCAUGGCCCUUACGGCCAGGGCUACACACGUGCUACAAUGGCGCAUACAAAGAGAAGCGACCUCGCGAGAGCAAGCGGACCUCAUAAAGUGCGUCGUAGUCCGGAUUGGAGUCUGCAACUCGACUCCAUGAAGUCGGAAUCGCUAGUAAUCGUAGAUCAGAAUGCUACGGUGAAUACGUUCCCGGGCCUUGUACACACCGCCCGUCACACCAUGGGAGUGGGUUGCAAAAGAAGUAGGUAGCUUAACCUUCGGGAGGGCGCUUACCACUUUGUGAUUCAUGACUGGGGUGAAGUCGUAACAAGGUAAGCGUAGAUGA
rnacentral:rRNA from 1 species